rnacentral:rRNA from 1 species
UGUAAGCGUAUACCAAAGUUGUUGCAGUUAAAACGCUCGUAGUCGGAAUUUGGCAGUUCCGGAUGUGUGCACGUCGUGUGCGCACUUCGCGGGGAUUGCUUUUGUGGUCUUGCGUAGGAUGAGGCACUUUUAUUAGUGAACGUCCUCACGCAACCACUUUUUACUUUGAGAAAAUCAGAGUGCUCAAAGCAGGCAUUUGCCGUGAAUGUAUUAGCAUGGAAUAAUAGAAUAGGACUUGGUUCUAUUUUGUUGGUUUGUUGGGACUGAGUAAUGAUUAAGAGGGACAGUUGGGGGCAUUUGUAUUUCGGUGCUAGAGGUGAAAUUCUUAGAUUACCGAAAGACAAACUGCUGCGAAAGCGUCUGCCAAGGAUGUUUUCAUUGA